CACAGCGGACACCAGGACUCCAAAAUGGCGUCAGUUGGUGAGUGUCCGGCCCCAGCAGUGCUUUGAAAGCAUGAAGCAUACCCUGCACUCCCUGGCUCCCUGCAGGAUUCCAGCCUCCUGCCGGGCUCCCUGCACAGGACCAGAGCCAGCCUCACGCUGACCCACAGAGCUGCUUCCCGGGAAACCUGGAAGUGCAGACCUGAGCGGGGACCCUGGGGACUCCUUCCAGCAGGGAGCACAUCUCUGCCAGACUCCGUGCCAGCCCCACUGACUCCACCCGGGCUCCCGCUUCUCCACGCAGGCCACUCAGGACAGCUGAGGCCACGCAUUCUCUAAGCAGGGCUCAAGGCAAGUUUGUUGCUACCAGAAGACACAUCUGAGGCUGUUAUUUUGAAGGGCUAUUUAGGAUGGCUGAGAUGUCACCAGGAUCAUGGCUCCUGGAGAGAAGGAACCAGCUCGGGCCUGAGAGGCAAUGCCCACGCUGGAGGGAGAAGUGGGUUUCAGGGAGAAGGUGGACGUGGACAGAAACCAACCACGGACAUAAUGCAGCCAGCUGCACAACUCGCUGCUUCCGGGUCACCCUCGUUAGCCUCAAAUCCGAGUGAUUGAAAGAGCUCCAAACACUGAAGCACUCCAAAGUGAUGCGCGGGGCCAGGCGUGGUGGCUCACGCCUGUAAUCCCAGCACUUUGGGAGGCUGAGGCAGGCAGAUCACUCGAGCCCAGGAGUUCAAGACCAGUAUGUGAAACAUAGCGAGACCCUAUGUCUUUAAAAAA
rnacentral:lncRNA from 1 species